AUUCAUUUGAAAACCACCAACAUUUUAUAAAUGUACUGACUUUUGGGAACGUAGGUUUCAACAGGGUGUUUGGAAGUAUCAUUGAGUAUCUGAUGGGUUAGUCUGGGAACACUGGCGGUGUGUAGCCAGACAUGGUGACGGCAGAGAUGUGGUAUGCAGUGCACUCCUCCCUCAUCACGGCUCUCUAGUGUUCCCUCUCCCAGUCAGAACAACCCAGACGGGCUCUACUCCUCUUAUCAGAUGGAGCCAGGCAGGCAGGACAGGACGGGGCCAGUGUGGAUCCAGCUGCUCCCAGGAGCAGGGCGCAGUCCCACUUAAUAGGUCUUCCCGGCAUCCCAGGCCUCGCCCCACUGGCAUCCCAGUCACAGCCAGGCAGGCUACUCCGUGGGUGGCACGCCUUGGAAACAGGCGGCAGAGACAGAGGAG
ensembl:lncRNA